rnacentral:rRNA from 1 species
UACGGAGGUCUCAAGCGUUGUUCGGAUUCAUUGGGCGUAAAGGGUGCGUAGGCGGCGCGGUAAGUCGGGUGUGAAAUCUCGGAGCUUAACUCCGAAACUGCAUUCGAUACUGCCGUGCUUGAGGACUGGAGAGGAGACUGGAAUUUACGGUGUAGCGGUGAAAUGCGUAGAUAUCGUAAGGAAGACCAGUGGCGAAGGCGGCUCACUGGCCCGAUACUGACGCUGAGGCACGAAAGCGUGGGGAGCAAACGGG